rnacentral:rRNA from 1 species
AACGUAGGAGACGAACGUUAUCCGGAGUUACUGGGCGUAAAGGGCGUGCAGGCGGCUUGAUAAGUUCGGCGUGAAAUUUCCCGGCUUAACCGGGGGAUGUCGUCGGAGACUGUCGAGCUAGAGGGUGAUAGAGGCGUGUGGAAUUCCGGGUGUAGUGGUGAAAUGCGUAGAGAUCCGGAGGAACACCAGUGGCGAAGGCGACACGCUGGGUCAUACCUGACGCUAAAACGCGACAGCAUGGGGGAGCGAACGGG